UGCCCAUAGUAUAAUAUUUUGAUCUUGCUCCCUCAAAGCUGUGAUGAUGUGUACAAUCAUUUUUUAAAAUCCUUUGGUCCAUUUUUCCUUUUUAUUCAUGGAUCAUGUGUCUCCAUUUAUUCCUCCUCAGCCUGACUCUAGGUGUAAGUUAAAGAAUUACCUCCUUCAGUUGCUGACAAUUCUUUCUUACCCUGCAAAACUUUUAGAAGGAUCUGGAGGAAGAUCCCUGGAUGUGCCCUGCUUCUUGCUGAGUGUUGAGGCAAGCAAAACUCUGACAGGAAAUUGGGACACAGAUAAAAAUCAAGAGGAAUCUACCCAAGCCUUUACUGGAACCACCCAAUGGGAGAAAAUAUACCUCUACUUCUGGACCUGAAUGAACAGAAACUCCUGGACUGCAGCAGCUGUAGUAGACAAACACAUGAGACGAGAGGACACAGAGAAGAGAAGGCGGCAAUGUGACCACAGAAGCAGAGACUGGAGUGAUGCAGCCACAAGCCAAGGAACGUCUGGAGCCAACAGGAGCAAGGAACAGAUUCUCCCCCAAAAGCUUUUGGAGGGAGUGUGCGCCUGCCAACACCUUGGUUUCAGACUUCUGGCCUCCAGAACUGUGGAGAGGACACAUUUCUGUUGUUUUAAGCCACUCAGUUUGUGAUAAUCUGUUACAGCAGCCUUGGGUGACUAACCCAGUAACUUUACGUAACUGCUAGAAAAUGAAAAAUCAGAUAUUUAACCUCAGGUAUAACUCCAAAGCCUUCAAUCAUGACCCAUCACAUAGCAGGCUUCUAUGACCAGAUCAGAUGAUUAGAAACGUGUCGAAGGGCAAGGGAGGGCACAGAGAAAAUCAGGAAUAUGUGAUGUGGCCUCAUGGAUUGGGUUCGAAUCCCGGUUCGAGCUCUCCUCACUUUACUUGUCUUCUCUGGUCUCAGUUCCCUCAAAUGUAAAGUAAGCAUCAUAAACCAAAUUAACAGGGUUAUUUUAAAAAACAGGGUUAUUGUAAGGAUUGAGUAAGGCGCCCUGUGUGUGAACUUCUUUGCAAAUUGUAGAUCCCUAUUCAAAUGCUGAUUACUAAGACCUUCUCCCCCAUAACAGAGGCAGAAGAGAUGGUAUAUGCAGUAAACUUGACCCUCAAUAUUAACCUGCCAAAGCUGCAAUGGCAUUGGGUUGCCUACUUCCUUGCUGUAGCAGACAGCAAGACGAGCUCCCUGCUCUCUCUGGCUGUACAGUGCCACUGUCACGUGCCUGCAGGAGCAACAAGAAGCCUCUGAACCUGUUGAGCAAUUUUGUUUGAAAGAAAACCUCAGCAGCUACCAUGCCAAAACAAAAUAGUUGUUUUUGGCAGAUAUUUUUUUUUUUCAGUAUUCAGAUGGACAAUACUAAAUAACUCUAUUCAACAGGCCAGUUCAUUUUAACUUGUUUACUUAUACCCUGCCUUGUUCCAGAAAGGAUUUAAGGUGGAUUACCUAUUAAUACCACACAAGAUAAAAUAAAGUGAAAAAUAAGUGGGUGAGGAAAGUAGGACAACAGGAAAAUGAGACUCAGAAAAAUAAAUGAAACCAGGAGUGAGUUAGACUCAUUUUGUUUUGUAAAUGUCUUGUGUGCUCACCAGGGCUGGCCAUGAGUGUGUCUCUAGUUUUUUUGCUGUUGAUACAAAAAGGGCUCUAACUCAGCAGUCCCCAACCUUUUUGGCACCAGGGACCGGUUUCAUGGAAGACAAUUUUU